CCGCGGUCGGCGUCGCGAUCGUACGGGCGGGUCGCGCUGCGGCGUGAAACGGCGCGUUUUCGAGGGAGAGCGGCUGAAAGAUGGGUGAAGUGAGUUCCACGUGGGGAUGAACGGACUCCUCGCGAAACCCCGGCUGAGUCCGACAGAAAUCAGUUGGUGCUGCGUGCGAGAACGUCUCGUUUACACUUCGCAAAACAGCCGGUGGUUUUCUGAGCGCAAUACUGAGCAAAACUCCUUUGAUCGCUUCAGGGCUGAAGGGAGCCUCGCUUGCCGGGGCACAGUGGGGAGGGACGGGGAGCGCAACCCCCCGUGGCACCGGGAAUGGGAAGAAAGCGGGGUUUUGUGUGGCCUCAGCUGCGAGAGUAGAGAGCGUCACUGGCGGGAGAGCAGCAGCCCUCAGCCCGCUGAGGGAUCCCAGCGCGCUCCAGAGCAGCGGGGUCACGGCCGCGGCCAGGCGAGGUGCUGCUUCUCCCCUGGCAGCACGAGAGAAUCCAAAGCUGGGAACACCAGGUCCCUUCGUGUGCAAGAUUAGUCUUUUCUUGCCUGUUGUAUGUUUAAAAUGUAAUGUAUUCUGAACCUUCUGGGACCUAACUCGCAGCUCCACAGGAUUCUGUUACCGAUGAGUCCGCGUGCGCAACCUCUCAUCAAACGCAAGAGGUGCUCCCAGGAUCUCAGCAUCUCUCUCCCAUGGCAGGGACGGGAUAGGCAGCACGAGGGGAAGUUGCUUAUAAGCACCGUCGUGUAGCGUCAGAGCUGCAGGUUUGAAAGCUCUGAGAGCCAACCUCACAGAACCUUCCUGCUCUGAGGCACCAGCACCUUGCUCAUUCACGAAAUCACUCUGAGGAAGAAGGCAAAAUGAAUUUUUGCAUUAGGGACACAUCACUGGUUUCUCCGUAGUGCUGAUAACACAACUUUAGUGAAAAUCUCGGACCUUUUGCUACACAGAAUAACCAUGUUGCCCUGAAUGGUUAUUGUUUAGUGAAACAUCUGAAAACACAUAAUAGACUACUUGUUUGCAACGCUUGCUAUAGAUUUUGUAAUGAAGUGCCGUUGCGCUGCAUCAAUUUGACAGUUCGAGUUGAUAAUUUGACAGAAAGAUUAAUCCUAAACUCCCAGCAUAAACAGAAUUCCCUUUAAUGUCAGAAGGGACUUUGUAACUGCCAGCCCAAACGCUGCGGAUGGGCUUCAGCAGGUUACAGAGAGCGUCUUCAGGAUCAAAUUUGACAUUCCUCUUCCUGACUAACAGUUGGUAGUUGAAAAUAGAACACCUCUCCCAGUUCUGAAUUCUGACCCUCACUUCUUGCUCACCCAAACCGAGGACUUCCAGACUUCUUUUCCCAAACGCUCACCGCGAAGGCUUUUGAAUGCAGAUGUUCACUCGUGUCUCCUGACAGUAGGCUCAGUUUUCUCAGCUACUUUUAGUAAGCUCCUAAAAACAGCCCACGGUCCCUCAGAACCUCAUCAACAACUGGCUAAAAGCCACGGUCUCACUGUAUCCUUUUUUCUUUUGGUAUCUGCUACAGACUUUGGACAGGUACAAAAGUUCUACCUCUCUGGGUCCAGGUCUCUCUGUCUGACAGCACGUUAUUUCUGCAGCUGUCACAUCUCCUCAUUUUCUAGAGCUGUUAUUACCUUUACAUAAUACGUAUUAUUAUAUUACAUAUUCUUCAGAAGUUGUUCUUCCAGUGGCAACAUAUGGAGGACCAUCAACCGUCAAGACGGAAGUUCAUGCAACUGUCAAGACUGAAUUUCAUGCAUUCAGAAUGCUUAGGCACCAUCUGACACUCGUAGAGACCCUAACGUUAAAUACAUCUACUGAACUGUGACAGCACACAUUUCUUGUGUGAAAGCCUAUAUUUCUGAUAAGGAAACCUGGUUCAGCAGCGCUCAAUAUGGAUUCUGGAUAACAUCUUAAAGAGGCCAACCAGCCAUUCCGUGCAUACAGAAACACGCCUGUGAACUUCUCCCUGCAGUCAGCUCCUUCAGCUCCCCACUUCCACGCCAGUGAUGUUAUUUCACCCACACCUUGCAGAAGGGGCGCAUUCCACUCAUUCCUGAGCUGGGACGAGCGCCCGCAGCAUUACUCACCCACAGCAGUGUCUGUAGAUCCCUGUCUGCUGUGGAUACUAAUCUCAAUCCAGAGCUUCCUCAGACGAUUAGAGGCUGUUCUGCAAAAUGUCAAUACACAGCCUCUCCGAAGCCAACACGGUGUGGUGGUUGAAAUGGGAGCCGUGGAGGCUUUCCAAAUAUGAAGGUCUGGAAAUGUUUGGAGGUAUUUUAAUAUUGAUGAAUACUUCAGAUUUUUUUUUUUUCUGUUGCUUCAGUGUAUCAGUGUCAAAUCUGUGCGGAUUAAUGGCAAGACAGAGCCCUAGUACCAUUCGUGUCUAUCAAAGUUCUGGCAAAUGCUAACAACUUACUGCUAUUAAUGAUCACUCUUUGCCCAGAAGUUCACAUAAUUCAUCAAAAAGCCAACGUUGAUAAGCAGAAAGAAAUUAAAUACUUCUGAGUCUUCUGUUAAAAUGCCUUUCUUUUUACUUUGUUUAACAUCUAAUGUCUCCUACAGCAAAAGUAAGCAAGGGGAAGUCUUUUCCUUCUUCAGCACAAAAGAGCACCCACACCACUCAAAAACAGUUGAGAUUAAACCUUUGAAAAGGUAUCAGCAGUGUGUGUAAAGCCAAAUUGGUAAAGUGUGCCCUAGACACCACUUUUGACUCUGGGGAAAAUGCUUUAUCAUCUGUCUACUGCUACGCUCUGCCUAUUCAUCACCAUUACUCAGUAACUCUGCGGUGGCAGCUUUGUACUUAACAUGAAGCCAAAGAUCAGGGAGAGGCACACAUCAAACAAGACUUGAACUUGGAGAUGGCAAACCAUACGUUCUAGACCUCAUUCCUUUAAAGGACCGUACCUCGGAAUGAAACCUGUGAGCCUUUUCUAUAGUUUCAUUUGUUCAAUACAGUGCUCCACUUGUUCUGUAAAAGAAGUUGGCAAAAGCCCUGCUUUCCUGAGAUCUUGUCAUUCAUUGUGACUGAAACCUAAAAGGCUGUCCUAUGGUACUAAGGCAGGUCUGGGGUACCUGAGAGAUCUACCUGCUCCCUAUGCCUCCAUUCCACAUUCUUCACACACCUUGAAACCAAGGAACUGUCAAACACAGAAGCAAAGAUGGCGAGGGGUGUACACCCCCAUUCUUUGCAGCUUUCCAUGGCUGUAAAGUUCCCUGUGAAGUGACCCGAGAAUAUGUACAAUGACAGAAAACUCAUUUCUUCACUCGCCAUUUCUCAACAACAGCCAGUUCCAGCCCUUGUCAUUCUUCUACUUCUCCACACAGACGAAGGCAGGAGAGAAUUCUCUUGGUUUAACUUUAAUAAAUGGAAUCAAAGAACAGCGGAGACUGAAAGGCUCUUGUGAAGAGGAACCUAACUUCCCUCCUCAAUGAUGUUUCUACACACCGAUGAAAUGCCCCCUGAGCCUCCUCCAGGUUGAGCAGACUUGGAUCUCUAAGCCUCUUCUCUUACAUCAGGUGCUCCAGUCUGUCAGUUAUUUCCGUAGUGCUGUGCUGCACUUGUUGCAGUGCAUCCCUGUCUAUUUUGUUCUGGGGAGCCCAGAACUGGACCCAGCACCCCAGAUAUGUCUCAC
ensembl:lncRNA